CUUCGGGGACAUUGGUGACAGGUGGUGCAUGGUUGUCGUCAGCUCGUGUCGUGAGAUGUUGGGUUAAGUCCCGCAACGAGCGCAACCCUUGUCUUUAGUUGCCAUCAUUAAGUUGGGCACUCUAGAGAGACUGCCAGGGAUAACCUGGAGGAAGGUGGGGAUGACGUCAAAUCAUCAUGCCCCUUAUGCUUAGGGCUACACACGUGCUACAAUGGGUAGUACAGAGGGUUGCCAAGCCGUAAGGUGGAGCUAAUCCCUUAAAGCUACUCUCAGUUCGGAUUGUAGGCUGAAACUCGCCUACAUGAAGCUGGAGUUACUAGUAAUCGCAGAUCAGAAUGCUGCGGUGAAUGCGUUCCCGGGUCUUGUACACACCGCCCGUCACACCACGGGAGUUGGAGACGCCCGAAGCCGAUUAUCUAACC
rnacentral:rRNA from 1 species